GAUACAGGCGUUGAAACACUGGUUCCUGUAUGAUCACCGAAGUUAAGCAACAUCGAGGCUGGUCAGUACCUAGAUGGGUAACCGUUUGGGUAUCUCAGGUACUGUAAG